rnacentral:rRNA from 1 species
UACGUAGGUGGCAAGCGUUGUCCGGAUUUACUGGGCGUAAAGGGCGCGUAGGCGGUGCACUAAGUCAGGCGUGAAAGCCCUGGGCUCAACCCGGGAAUUGCGCUUGAUACUGUUUGGCUUGAGACCGGAAGAGGUUAGUGGAACUGCGAGUGUAGAGGUGAAAUUCGUAGAUAUUCGCAAGAACACCAGUGGCGAAGGCGGCUAACUGGUCCGGUUCUGACGCUGAGGCGCGAAAGCGUGGGGAGCAAACAGG